AGUGAACGCUGGCGGUAGGCCUAACACAUGCAAGUCGAGCGGCAGCACAGUAAGAGCUUGCUCUUACGGGUGGCGAGUGGCGGACGGGUGAGGAAUACAUCGGAAUCUACUUUUUCGUGGGGGAUAACGUAGGGAAACUUACGCUAAUACCGCAUACGACCUACGGGUGAAAGCAGGGGAUCUUCGGGCCUUGCGCGAUUGAAUGAGCCGAUGUCGGAUUAGCUAGUUGGCGGGGUAAAGGCCCACCAAGGCGACGAUCCGUAGCUGGUCUGAGAGGAUGAUCAGCCACACUGGAACUGAGACACGGUCCAGACUCCUACGGGAGGCAGCAGUGGGGAAUAUUGGACAAUGGGCGCAAGCCUGAUCCAGCCAUACCGCGUGGGUGAAGAAGGCCUUCGGGUUGUAAAGCCCUUUUGUUGGGAAAGAAAAGCAGCAGGUUAAUACCCCGCUGUUCUGACGGUACCCAAAGAAUAAGCACCGGCUAACUUCGUG
rnacentral:rRNA from 1 species